rnacentral:rRNA from 1 species
UGUUAGCACUAAUCUUGACAUGUGUGGUUCCGUCAGCAGCCGAGUCCCGCGGCUGUUACGAGCGGGGCGUCCGGUAGAGUUGCCGAGUCCUAGAGUGCAUGGAUAAGGUAGUUAUCUAGUUGCAUGCAUGUAGCUAGUGGGUUAGUGGCCCGGUCAUGUGGCAGUGGCCGGUGUGGUGCAUGCGUGCUGUAGUUAGUGCAUGGGGUUAGUGGCCGAUCUGGGCGGCUGGGCUGGGCGUAAGUCUGUGUAUUAAAAGGGCCCCGGUGCUGCUGUGUAGAGGAGCCACAGAGAG